rnacentral:rRNA from 1 species
GAUGAACGCUGGCGGCGUGCCUAAUACAUGCAAGUCGAGCGAACAGACGAGGAGCUUGCUCCUCUGACGUUAGCGGCGGACGGGAGAGUAACACGUGGAUAAAAUACCUCUAAGACUGGGAUAACUUCGGGAAACCGGGGCUAAUACCGGAUAAUAUAUUGAACCUCAUGGUUCAAUAGUGAAAGACGGUUUUGCUGUCGCUUAUAGAUGGAUCCGCGCAGCAUUAGCUAGUUGGUAAGGUAACGGCUUACCAAGGCAACGAUGCGUAGCCGACCUGAGAGGGUGAUCGGCCACGCUGGAACUGAGACAUGGUCCAGACUCCUACGGGAGGCAGCAGUAGCGAAUCUUCCGCAAUGGGCGAAGUGCUGACGGAGCAACGCCGCGUGAGUGAUGAAGGUCGUCGGACCGUAAAACUCUGUUAGUAGGGAAGAACAAAUGUGUAAGUAACUAUGCACGUCUUGACGGUACCUAAUCAGAUAGCCACGGCUUACUACGGG